rnacentral:lncRNA from 1 species
GGAGGUUGAAUGGAGGUAGUAGUUUAAAGAUUACUUUUGAUGAGAUGCAGGUUGAGCUUGCUUAUUAGCUAGAACUGCAACUAGAAGAUGAUAGGCUUUUGCUACCCUUGGUGAUGUUAUCAUAUAUAUACAAGAUCAAGAUUAUCAACAUCUUUGGAUCAAUUUACGAGAAGCUACUAUUGUCAUCAAGAUUUUGCACGACCUUUGAAGUAAACAACAGAAUAUUUUUGGAUAUUUAGAAGCCCCUAAAGUCUAUGUUCCAACGAAUUAAGAAUCAAGGCAAUCAGAGAUUCCUAAAUUAAAAUGAGCGUAACUCUCUCAUUUGAACUCUGCUUUAGAUGAAUGACCACUCGUUGGAAAGGUAAUUUUAUAAACUUUUCAAUAGAUCUUUAUUUCAGUAUAUGUUCUGUUCUGGAUGUAGGGGAAACUCUAUGAACAAGAGGCAGCAGCAAGACGAUGAGAACAAGGUAGUGGAGAUGAAGAUGACAACAAUGAAGAGGAGCUUGGGCAAUGCUUUCAUCAAGCGUACAUGAUCAAAUUCAGAAGUUUAGAACAAAAUAAAAACCUCCGGAGCAUUGGCACAUGAACACACAAGCAAGCUACAUUUAAUACAUGAAGAUAUUAGAAGCAAACCAUGAAGGAUUACAAAAG